CCUACGUGUGGCAGCAGUGAGGAAUAUUGGUCAAUGGCCGGAAGGCUGAACCAGCCAAGCCGCGUGAAGGACGCAGGUGCCAAGCAUUGUAAACUUCUUUUGUCAAGUGACAAAAUCAGGCUCGAGAGCCUGACCGAGGGUACUUGCAGAAAAAGCAUCGGCUAACUCCGUUCCAGCAGCCUCGGUAAUACGGAGGAUGCGAGCGUUAUCCGUAUUUAUUUGGUGUAAAGGGUGCGUAGGCGGACUUGUAAGUCAGCGGUAAAACCCCGGGGCUCAACCCAGGCGAAGCGUUGAAACUGGCUGUAUUGAGAUGUCGAGAGGUAUGCGGAAUGCGGAGUGUAGCGGUGAAAUGAUUAGAUAUUGCGCAGAACUCCGAUUGAGAAGGCAGCAUACCGGCGGCGAUCUGACGCUGAGGCACGAAAGCGUGGGUAUCGAACAGGAUUAGAUACCCCAGUAGGC
rnacentral:rRNA from 1 species